rnacentral:lncRNA from 1 species
CAAAAUCAGCCCCAAAACUGCCCCGGUCCAAGCCAAUCCUUUCCCAGUUCAAACCAGUCCAAACCAGUCCAAACCAGUCAGUUUCCAGUCCAAACCAGUGCAAACCAGUCCGUUCCCAGUCCGUUCCCAGUUCAAACCAGCCCAAACCAGUCCAUUCCCAGUCCAAACCGGUCCGUUCCCAGUCCAAACCAGUCCAAACCGGUCCGUUCCCAGUUCAAACCAGUCCAAACCGGUUUGGUUGCAGGUUCGGGGCUGGUACCGGUCGCUGCUGUGCCCGCGCUGGCGCCCGUACUCGGAGUUCACCAGUAACACCAGUAACACCAGUAACAACACCAGUCACACCAGUAACACCAGUAUGGGCCGCGCCCGGGGCUCCCUGGCACACCAGUGACACCAGUGACACCAGUGACAGCAGGUGCCGAAAAUUCCAGGAAAAACCAAAAAUUUGGGGAAAUUCGAUGGAAUUUUGGGGGAAAUUCGAUGGAAUUUUGGGAAAUUCGGGAUUUUUACCCAGCUCGGGGAGCUCAGUAAAGAAAAUCGAGUUUGGAUUUGGGGCGAAUUCCUGGGAUUUUGGGCUGAAAUCUCUGAGAUUCAGGGAAUUCCAGGGAUUUCGGGGAUUCCGGGACAUUUUUGGGGUGGAAUUCCAGGGAUUUUGGGGUAAAAUUCCGGGAUUU